GCCCCGGUGGCUCACCGGUCUAAGCGCGCACACUAUUACUGUGGCGACCUGGGUUCGAUUCCGGCUCGGGUCA